AGAUCCUAAAAGAUGACGACCAAUAAAAAACCACUUCCAGCAUCACUCAUGGAGCCCGAGCCCCCGUCCCCCCGAACGGCAAGGCGAGAAAGCCUCUCUCUCUCCUGGUCGGCCAGUGACAUCACCAACUCGUCGAGAGGGGGGAGAAAGAGAGGGAGCACGAGCUCGUUGCCGAUUCGAGAAGAGAAGAGGAGUGAGAGAGGGAGAGGAGCGAGGGAGGGAAGGAGCAGGGAGCCUGCGCCCGGGGGCAUCGGGUCAAGGAACCCGACAAACGCCUCCGUUGAUCGCCGUCUCAGGCCAUGGCAGCGCCGGCGCCGGAUCGGGCGGCGCUGACGGUGGGGCCGGGCAUGGACAUGCCAAUCAUGCACGACAGCGACCGGUACGAGCUCGUGCGCGACAUCGGCUCAGGCAACUUCGGCGUCGCCCGCCUCAUGCGCGACCGCCGCACCAGUGAGCUCGUCGCCGUCAAGUACAUCGAGCGCGGCGAGAAGAUAGAUGAAAAUGUCCAGCGCGAGAUAAUUAAUCAUAGAUCAUUGAAGCACCCUAAUAUUAUUAGGUUUAAAGAGGUUAUUUUAACCCCGACACAUCUUGCUAUUGUCAUGGAAUAUGCCUCUGGCGGUGAGCUUUUCGAGAGAAUAUGUAGGAAUGUGCGAUUCAGUGAAGAUGAGGCUCGCUACUUCUUCCAGCAGCUUAUCUCAGGAGUAAGCUACUGCCAUUCAAUGCAAGUAUGUCACCGUGAUCUGAAGCUGGAGAACACACUGCUAGAUGGGAGUGAUGCUCCUCGCUUGAAGAUAUGUGACUUUGGUUAUUCCAAGUCAUCUGUUCUUCAUUCGCAACCAAAGUCAGACUGUUGGAACACCUGCUUAUAUUGCACCUGAAGUUCUACUGAAAAAAGAAUAUGAUGGCAAGAUUGCUGAUGUAUGGUCAUGUGGAGUGACCCUUUACGUUAUGGUUGUUGGUGCAUAUCCUUUCGAAGACCCAGAAGAGCCUAAGAACUUCCGUAAGACAAUUCAGCGUAUCUUGAAUGUUCAGUAUGCGAUUCCAGAUAACGUGAACAUAUCUCUAGAGUGCAGGCAUCUAAUUUCCAGGAUUUUUGUUGGUGACCCUGCCAUGCGGAUAACAAUCCCUGAAAUACGGAACCAUAGUUGGUUCCUGAAGAACCUUCCUGCUGAUCUGAUGGAUGAUGAUAGUAUGAGCAAUCAAUACGAGGAGCCUGAUCAGCCAAUGCAGACUAUGGAUCAGAUCAUGCAGAUUUUAACAGAGGCUACCAUACCACCUGCUUGUUCUCGCAGUAUAAAUAUCCUAGCUGAUGGACUAGACAUGGAUGACGACAUGGAUGACCUUGAAUCCGACUCCGAUCUUGAUGUGGACAGCAGCGGUGAGAUUGUGUAUGCAAUGUGAGUCGCAUCUCAGAUAACCAUCUUACCAGCCCACCAAAGAAUCGAUCAGGCAUGGGAUGUAUCUCAGAUAACCAUCUUACCAGUCCACCAAAGAAUCAAUCAGGCAUGGGAUGCCCUGAUGUUGUAUACUCUGGCAAAGAACUAGCAUCCUUUUGUGAAAAAUCGUCCUGUAGUUUUCCAGUUUCCUGCAGAUGGCAUCGCAAUCCUGUUGUGUCUUAUGUGGAACACAGAUGUUGUAGCCAAACUGGGGUUACAUCCCUCGGAAAACUAGCUUUCUCUUGCUUGUGUACUGAGGUUUGGAUACUCUCAAACUUCGACUUGUGUGUUAGUGUUAUAUAUGUACAAGUAGAUUUACUCCUGUUGAUCUGUAAACUUCGGUCUCUGCUGUUAUUUUUACUACCUAGUGUGUAUCCCGGAUUUCUGCAUUUUAAAAGUUUGUGCUUGGGGCAUCCAAAUUCAUCA